CCCUAUGGGGUGCAGCAGGCCGAUCUGAAAAUAGACGUCGUUGUUCAGCCCCCGCAAACCUGAGGCGAUAAUGCCGCCGAUGAUGCCGAGGGGAAGGACCAGCAGGAUUGAAACGGGGACGGUCCAGCUCUCGUAAAGGGCGGCGAGGCACAGAAAGAUCACGAGAACCGAGAAAGCGAAAAGGGGCGCCGUCUGUGUGCCGGCCUGCCGUUCCUGAUAGGAAAGCCCGGUCCAGUCGAAGCCGAUUUGCCGAGGCAGUGGCGCGGCGGCGUCCUCCAUGGCCUGCAUCGCCUCGCCUGAGCUUCUCCCCGGCGCCGGCUCGCCUUGUAUGUUGAUGGACGGAAAGGCGUUGUAGCGCUCCAGCUUGGGAGAGC
rnacentral:rRNA from 1 species